UGAGCGCUGGCGGUAGGCCUAACACAUGCAAGUCGAGCGGAUGACAGGAGCUUGCUCCUGAAUUCAGCGGCGGACGGGUGAGUAAUGCCUAGGAAUCUGCCUGGUAGUGGGGGACAACGUUUCGAAAGGAACGCUAAUACCGCAUACGUCCUACGGGAGAAAGCAGGGGACCUUCGGGCCUUGCGCUAUCAGAUGAGCCUAGGUCGGAUUAGCUAGUUGGUGAGGUAAUGGCUCACCAAGGCGACGAUCCGUAACUGGUCUGAGGGGAUGAUCAGUCACACUGGAACUGAGACACGGUCCAGACUCCUACGGGAGGCAGCAGUGGGGAAUUUUCCGCAAUGGGCGAAAGCCUGACGGAGCAACGCCGCGUGAGGGAUGAAGGCCUCUGGGCUGUAAACCUCUUUUAUCAAGGAAGAAGAUCUGACGGUACUUGAUGAAUAAGCCACGGCUAAUUCCGUGCCAGCAGCCGCGGUAAU
rnacentral:rRNA from 1 species